GUUCAUGUAAGAUAUUUAAUGUAGAUGCAAAUAGUUUUAAGAUACAGGCUUUCUUGGCGAUUGAACGCAUCUUUAUUGUGUCUGGUAUAAUUCUAGCCUUUUUCGUGGGCUCAUACCGGAGAUAGGGGACUCUAAAAAUAUGCGUCGGUGUCGCAGCAUUGGUGCACUGGCGCUCCCGCUGGUAUCGGUACCGGUGCUGCCACCGUGCGUUUUUACAGUGCGGUACUCAGGGUACCACUGUGCUGUGCCAACACAUUCUGGCAGUAUCGACAUGAGGUGGUAAUGGUGGCACCAGGGAUUAGCUGGCAACAGUGUUAUCUUUUGAAAGCUCACGUUUUGAAACGCUCUCGUUUGGACGCUGCGCCUCUGGUCGACGAGCCUGACGCUGUUGAUUCAGACACUGCGGUCCUCCCAGAAUAAAGUUUGUGGUUCAUGCGUCUCAUUCUCACAGGUACAUUUACGCACGGUGCAUUUAUUUGCUAAUAAAGAAGCAGCUUCCUAUAGUAAUAAACAGACAAGAAGGA